rnacentral:rRNA from 1 species
CUCUUUCUUGAUUUUUCGGGUGGUGGUGCAUGGCCGUUCUUAGUUCGUGGGGUGACUUGUCUGCUUAAUUGCGAUAACGAGCGAGACCUUCCUCUGCUAAAUAGCCAGGCUAGUUUUGGCUGGUCGCCGGCUUCUUAGAGAGACUAUCGACUCAAGUUGAUGGAAGUUGGAAGCAAUAACAGGUCUGUGAUGCCCUUAAAUGUUCUGGGCCGCACGCGCGCUACACUGACAGAGCCAACGAGUUCUUCACCUUGGCCGAAAGGUCUGGGUAAUCUUGUUAAACUCUGUCGUGCUGGGGAUGGAGCAUUGCAAUUAUUGCUCUUCAACGAGGAAUGCCUAGUAAGCGCGUGUCAUCAGCAUGCGUUGAUUACGUCCCUGACCUUUGUACACACCGCCCGUCGCUACUACCGAUUGAAUGGCUCAGUGAGGCGUUCGGACUGGCUCGUGGAGGUUGGCAACGACCACCCCAAGCCGGA